UUGGAGGGCAAGUCUGGUGCCAGCAGCCGCGGUAAUUCCAGCUCCAAUAGCGUAUAUUAAAGUUGUUGCAGUUAAAAAGCUCGUAGUUGAAUUUCGGGAUUGGCGCAUCGGUCGUGCCUCACGGGGUAUGAACUGGUGCAGUCAAUUUCUCACCUUCUGGAGAACCGCGAUGUCCUUAAUUGGAUGCCGCGGGGAACCAGGACAUUUACUUUGAAAAGAUUAGAGUGUUUAAAGCAGGCAUUUUUGCUUGAAUACAUUAGCAUGGAAUAAUAAAAUAGGACGGCAUGGUUCUAUUUUGUUGGUUUCUAGGACCACCGUAAUGAUUAAUAGGGAUAGUUGGGGGCAUUAGUAUUCAAUUGUCAGAGGUGAAAUUCUUGGAUUUAUUGAAGACUAAUUACUGCGAAAGCAUUUGCCAAGGAUGUUUUCAUUAAUCAAGAACGAAAGUUAGGGGAUCGAAGACGAUCAGAUACCGUCGUAGUCUUAACCAUAAACUAUGCCGACUAGGAAUCAGACGAUGUUAAUUUUUUAAUGACUCGUUUGGCACCUUACGGGAAACCAAAGUGUUUGGGUUC
rnacentral:rRNA from 1 species